rnacentral:RNase_P_RNA from 1 species
AGAGUAGGACAAAUGGCCGCUGCUUUGCCUUUUGGCAAAGGGGAGGAAAGUCCGGGCUCCAUAGGACAGGGUGCUGGGUAACACCCAGUCCUGGUGACAGGCAGGAAAGUGCCACAGAAAACAGACCGCCAGGGUGAACGUCCUCGAUGUUGCCCUGGUAAGGGUGAAAAGUUGAGGUAAGAGCUCACCAGUCCCAUCGGUGACGGUGG